AAUAAGUGCAGACAUGAGUUUUCGCGCCCAACUUUGAUCGUCCGUCUUAUUUGAAAUUUUUUUAUAAUUAGCAUUUUUGUUGUUAUGAGAUGAUAAAACAUGAAAAGUACUUUACUCGUGGCUUAUGUUUUCAAUUUUUUUCAAAAAAUUUUCAAAUAAGACGAACCGUUAAAGUUGGAUGCGAAAAACCAUGGCUGCACUUAUU
rfam:Oryza barthii chromosome 6, whole genome shotgun sequence.